rnacentral:rRNA from 1 species
CCUACGGGUGGCUGCAGUGGGGAAUUUUGGACAAUGGGCGCAAGCCUGAUCCAGCCAUUCCGCGUGAGUGAAGAAGGCCUUCGGGUUGUAAAGCUCUUUCGCAAGGGAAGAAAACUUAUCCUCUAACAUAGGAUGAGGUUGACGGUACCUUGAUAAGAAGCACCGGCUAACUACGUGCCAGCAGCCGCGGUAAUACGUAGCGUGAUAGCGUUGAUCGGAAUUACUGCACGUAAAGCUGUAGGUCGCUGGUGAAAUCCCCGAGCUCAACUUGGGAACUGCGUUUGAAACUACAAGACUAGAAUAGGUCAGAGGGGGGUAGAAUUCCACGUGUAGCAGUGAAAUGCGUAGAGAUGUGGAGGAAUAUCAAUGGCGAAGGCAGCCCCCUGGGAUCAUAUUGACGCUCAUGCACGAAAGCGUGGGGAGCAAACAGGAUUAGAUACCCGAGUAGUC